GCCGACCUGGCAGGCAGAGCCUGGGAGGAGGGGAGGGGAGGGAGGCAGCGCGAGCUGGGAGGGCGAAGGUGCUUGCCGCGGCCCAGAACGGCCCCGGACCCGGGCCGACGGGGCUGCUUGCUGCCGCUGCCGCUGCCGCUGCCCGACCAAGAAAAGUGGCGAGGGCCGUGCCGCGUCGGCCCUGGGCAGCAUUUAAAGGCCUCCGGGGCCCGGCUCGGGAACCGGGAACAGGGCGGGGACCCGGCGGGGCUGCCGCGGCUUGCUCAGCGGGCCCUGCCCCUCGGCCAUUGGACGGUGGCGGAGGCCGGGGCGGGAGGGACGGGCCUGUCCGGGUCCGGGAGGGCGGGGGCCCUGUCGGCUCUCACCGGCCAGAGGGUGGGCAGGGCCGGGGCUGGAGAAGUGAGGGCCCGAGCCGGUCAGGUGACAGGUGCUCGUGCCACCCGCGCCCCUCCCUCCAGCCUCCUUCCUCCUGCCACGUCCUGGGCGCUGGUGGGGCGAUGGGAGGCGAGGUCGAGGGAAGAUUGGGUGCUGGGGGUGGUAUUCCAGAGUGGGAGACUUGGCAGGAUUUCUUUCAGAGAAUUCCAACAAAAUCGGGGGAAGGAUUCAUUCUGCUCUCUAGGGCAGAAAGAGAAUGGAAGGUCUGAAGGCUUGCAGAAAUAAAUGUGUGACCUGAAAGAACGAAGCAGAGAGGACUCAAGGAGAAGGUAUGACAUAGCUCCACCUACAUGCAAGGGGAGCCAGGAAGUGCAAUCCCUGGCUGGGCUGCCACGUCUCAGAAACCAUUAAGCCUAUGGAAGGUCUCUGGAUUUGAUGGCAAAUGGCAGCAGAAAUGUGGAAAAGAUCAAAGUGAUGUCAAGGUUGAUCUCUGAGUUUGGCAUGGCUGAACUCAAACAUCAUUUGCCAUGGACCCACAGUGUCUUCAGUAGCUGAGUGUGGUGUCAUUCCCCUAUGAUAUGUGCACUCAAUUGCUGGCCAGUUUUUGUUUUUUGUUUUUGAGAGAGUCUCGCUUUGUCUCCUAGGCUGGAGUGCAGUGGCACGAUCUCGGCUCACUGCAACCUCCGCCUCCCGGGUUCAAGUGAUUUUCCUGCCUCAGCCUCCCGAGUAGCUGAGAUUACAGGCAUGUGCCAGCAGGCCCGGCUAAUUUUUUUUGUAAUUUUAGUAGAGACGGGGUUUUGCCAUGUUGGCCAGGCUGGUCUCGAGCUCCUGGCCUCAAGUGAUCCACCUGCCUCCACCUCCCAAAGUGCUGGGAUUACAGGUGUGAGCCACUGUACCUGGCCCCAAAGUUUUAGAAAUUGGAUCAUUUUAAAUGUUGGAGGGGAGUUCAUUGUUUAGGAUGGCUGUGUGGCAAAUCUUUUUUUAAAGUAAGUAAUUCUCCUCUAUUAUAAGUCACCUCCUGAUCUCUACAUUUAAGGUUUGCUGUCCUGGAUGUGUUCACCUAUGAAUGUAAGUGUGCUGAGAUACACAGUGCAAGGCUGAAGUCAGAGUACACCACUGAUGAACCCCUGGGAACUGGUAACCCAGCCAGGGAAUGAACAUCUUUUAUGAAUCAGUUUAUCCACCAAACACUUGCAGAGAGCCUAUCCCAUGCCACCCCUGAGGGCACGGUGAUGGAGAAGAUAUGCUUCCUGCCUCCAAGAACCCCAUAGUCUAGUGGCAGAGACAAGCAGGUACAUAGCUGCCUAUAGUACAGCAUCACAGGUGCCAUAACAUUGUGUAAACUGGGAAUAAUUCUAUUCUCUGGAUAUAGAACAUCUAACCAAGAUAUUGAGUAUCUGGCUUCCCCUUCCCCACACUGGCCCUCACUGGGAUCCAUGUCUAAUAUUAUGAAAGUCACACAAUAUCAUUAUAAACUAAUCAUAAAUGGCACUGUCAGUUUGCUACAAAAACUUAUUCAGAAAAUAUUCAGAUUCUCCCAUCAACAUAUGCCGCUAUGUUGGCAAAAGCUCUGAUUUAAAAUACUUAUUUCGUUUUCCUCUCCGAUUUUGUUCUAGUCUUCAAAAUGAUUUCAUACAACAUAGCACUGAGUUCCUUAGUUCCUCUGACCCCUGCCAGAUCUGAAGCUGUGAUGUUCAAAAGUCAGGGCAGAGUCCAUCUUAUGAUUGAGUUUCAUAAGAGUCUAAGCCACUGAUCAACAUACUGUGGCAGAGUAAGCUUUCUGGGUUCCAGAAUUUAUUGUGAGUGGGCUGAGGGAGUUGAGAAAUGGCAUGGGAGGCCUAAAGAGAAAAUAACUUUUGAAUGAAAAUUAUAGGAAAGUGGAUUUGAGAUCAAAACAAAGGAAGGUUGAUCAUAGUUGGAAUCAUUUAAGAUUGGUGGGGGUAGUGGGCUUCUGGUUCUUAACCCAGGCCAGGCAGAGGUGUGACAACAGUCAGGGGUUUCUAAACAGGGUGGGAGGUUAGAUGAGAAUAGCCUUCAACCCUUUGUGUUGAACUAAAAUCCUAGCUCUGCUUUCAACUCCUAGACUCUGCUUCAUCAUUGCUAAGUUGGAAAGAGCAAGCAAUUGAGAGUCCCUGCUGGCCACAGCUGGGGUGCCCCAGACCACAGCACUGAGCCUCAAAGGCAAGUGAGCAUAGUGUUGGGAGCUGGGCUUCUGGAUCCAUCAACUCCAUCUGAUGACUCGGAAGUUCCUUCAGUUCCCAACACUGGAGUCCAGCAAGGCUGGUUUGUCUUGUUUUAAUUAUUAUUUAGAUGACUGUUUGGCUCAUACCUGAGCAAGGUUCAAAUCAAGUCAGACCUGUUAAUUUAAUCAAAGUUAUAUAAUCACAUUUGGGCACUUAAAUGUAAACCAAUUAUGUUGGAAGCCAAGUAUCUUGUACUCAGGAGGGAGUUCUAAUAAGUGCUGGGAAUGUAUGCUAAUGCACAAAGCCUAACCCCCAGAGUGGAGGGUGGAGCACUCCAGGGCACUCCUGUUUCGGUGACGUUGUUUUAAUAGCUAGUGCUCUGGGUGCAGUCUGGGAAGAUAUUGGAAACAUCUCAAGCAAGUAUGACAUCCAUUUUACCCAAGCCCAUGGAACCCAUUAUGUUUGGAACAUGUCUGUCUGUGGCAUUUGGCUUGGCUUAUAAAUGCACUAUCAGAAUCUAUAGGAGGCCUUCGCAACAAGACGUGUCUUGGCCUUUCUGGUUAUCAGCAAUCCCUCCACCUCUCUCUUAACAAACAUAUGCCAUAAGUCCUGAUCAGGCAUUUAGUUUUUUCACUUGGACCUUUUCCUAGUUCCUAGUCUCAACCCCAAUGCCUCCUAAUCUUGUACUUCUUCAAAUACUGGCCCCCCUCUACUAUGAGAGAGAGAGGAAAGUAGGGAGGAGAAGGAGGAAAAGUUAUUGAGUUGAUAUGAGGGUAGUCAACCUAAAGCAACAAUCAGGAGUAAGGUACUGGACUUGAGUUUGAAGUGUUUGUCACUAAACUCUCUCAAACUCUUCCAGGCUAACUAGCCUCAGAGGGCUUCUAGCCCAUAGUCUCCUUGUAUUUUCUGCCCUCCUCACUUGGAGUGGGAGGGAACCAGAUGUCCAGUCUUUGUCCCGUGUUAAGAACUGGCCUGGCAGGCUUUGUUGAGACCAUCCAGACUUGAAAGCCUCACAACCAGAUGCCAUCACAGGCACUUUCUGCUCUUAACCUUUGUCUGUGUCUCCUACAUGAACUCAUCAGACUGCCUCUGAAGAGGGACAUUCUAGGGACAGUUUCAUCUUCAUCACCAUCCUGGAUAGGGAACCCUUCCAGACUCAGAGUUGCAAAAGUCAGGGAGGGGCUGCUCACUGGAGGUGGAGUCCUUUGGCCAGGUUUCACUGUAAACACAUGGCUAAAAUGUGUCGCACAUGGACAGGCAUGCUAGUGUGCUCUGGAUACAUGCUAGUGUGCCCCAGAUAUAUGCUAGUGUGCCCCGUAUAGCUUCUGGCUAAAGGACACACCUCAGCAAGGCCAAAUGAGGCAUCAGGAUGAACUCUUCAAAUAGACUUCAUUAGACCCACAGAAGACUAACCUUUGCCUGACUUUGGAUUACCCCUUUCUUGCCAGGAAUUAUGUUCAAUGACUAUAUCUGGAACUAGAGGUCUUGAUAGCCACACUUUGCUUGGUGUGGCUUCUCAGUCUUUUAAGGACAUGGCUAUCAAGGGCUCAUGUUUAUUCCAGGUCAGCCCUUUACCCCUUUCCUCCAGGGGCAUCUAUGGCAACAAAAGACCAUGACAUCUGGCAGGGCUGGCAGGACUAUUUAGUUUAGGCAGGAAUGUGGGUGUUAGCAUGUCAGAGUACAUCUGAGAAAACAUUCCAAACCAACCUUUCCACACUGGGAACUCAACCCCCAGGAAUCACCAAAGAUAAGGGCAACAGUCUUAUCUCUCGAGGGAAGUUCAGGGUAAAGUCCACUCCUGCUGUGGACCAGAGCUCAGGGAAGAAGAAAGCUCAGGCUGGCUCUGCCUGUCCACUUGAUGAACUUCCACAAAUGCCACUCUGGGAGCUGAGGCAUAUGAAGUGGGGAAGAAAAUACCAGCCCUGCCCUGGAGCUCUGGGAUGGUGGCUGUACACCCCUAAAGAUGCCAGCAGAUCUGAACUGUGGCCUAUGUGUGUUUGGGAAUUGAGAAAUAAGGAGAUAGAGGGACAGCAGGCAGGAAAAACUACAAUUAGUCUCAGCUCACACAGAUUUGGGAGUAUGCAGAUCUGAAUUGUGGCCUCCAUGUGUUUGGCUGAAGGAUAAUGAUCUCAGGCCCAGACUUUUUUUUUUUUUUGUAUCACUCGCUCAGGGGGCUCUGACCAGGAGCUUCUUUCAGAUGACACAGAUCCCGAGGAGCCACUUGCCUUCUACCCAUGACACUUCUAAGAGUGACUCUUGCCAUGUGACCAUAGAGAUAAGUGAAGUUUUCUCCAAUGACAUCAUUAAGAAGUCUAAACUUCCCCAAAGGGAGAGGCUGUGACUAGGAACACAAAUGUCUCAGUGUAUCACACUCAUGCUCCCAGAUCUGUGGGCAGAAAAAGAAAUCAUAGAAUGGUGCAUAUCCUAAAAAUAAAAAGGAAAUUGCUUUUCAAGUUAUG
rnacentral:lncRNA from 1 species